UUCGGCUCAGUAACACGUGGACAACCUACCCUGAGGUCGGGGAUAAACCCGGGAAACUGGGUAUAAUACCCGAUAGAUCUAGAUCGCUGGAAUGCUUUUAGGUCUAAAGUUCCGACGCCUCAGGAUGGGUCUGCGGCCUAUCAGGGUAGUAGUGGGUGUAAAGUACCUACUAGCCUACGACGGGUACGGGUUGUGAGAGCAAGAGCCCGGAGAUGGAUUCUGAGACACGAAUCCAGGCCCUACGGGGCGCAGCAGGCGCGAAACCUUUACAAUGCUGGCAACAGCGAUAAGGGGACCUCGAGUGCUACGAUACAAUCGUGGCUGUCUAGUUGCCUAAAAAGCAAUUGAUAGCAAGGGCCGGGCAAGACCGGUGCCAGCCGCCGCGGUAACACCGGCGGCUCGAGUGGUAACCGCUAUUAUUGGGUCUAAAGGGUCUGUAGCCGGCUUAGUUAGUCUCUUGAGAAAUCUGGCCGCUCAACGGUCAGGCGUUCAGGGGAUACUGCUAAAGCUCGAGACCGGGAGAGGUGAGAGGUACUUCAGGGGUAGGGGUGAAAUCUUGUAAUCCUUGAAGGACCACCAGUGGCGAAGGCGUCUCACCAGAACGGAUCUGACGGCAAGGGACGAAAGCUAGGGGCACGAACCGGAUUAGAUACCCGGGUAGUCCUAGCCGUAAACGAUACUCGCUAGGUGUCGGCCACGGUGCGACCGUGGUCGGUGCCGUAGGGAAGCCGUGAAGCGAGCCACCUGGGAAGUACGGCCGCAAGGCUGAAACUUAAAGGAAUUGGCGGGGGAGCAC
rnacentral:rRNA from 1 species